rnacentral:lncRNA from 1 species
CCUUUAGUUCCUCCAAAGCAAAUCCACCACUCGUAGAACCAUCUGGGUAUGGUGGCUUCUACCAUGGCAGGGCAAUAUUUCACAAACCAAGUAUGUCCUGGUCGAACAAAUAGAAAGUUGAACCACGCUGACUUGUAGUCAUACCAAUUAAAGGUUUGAGGCCUGUGUGGCAUCGACAAGGCUACUGGGGUAUGUAGAUGAUCUACAAACCAAUUAAAGGGGGUUAAUACCCUCUUGAUGGUAAAUUUUGAGUAGCUGAUGUAGUCUGGAUUACGAUUGUCCAUGGAAUGUUCUACUUCGAUAGAGUCUGUAUCGACCAGAAUAGCUUCAUAGAAUCUGCGAGUCUUGAGUGGAUCUUCAGUGUCUACAAAAUUGUUGUUGUUAUAUACCGGCUUGAUUAGCUGAUUUAUUGGGUAGCCUUCGUAGGCUUUGUCUAGAGCGAUGAUGGGC